GUCUAGAGAAGUAAAUUCUGGACAAUAUUACUGUCCAUAAAAGUGGACCAUUUUUGUCUCAAGAAACGGCCAAUAUUCCAUAGUGGAACUUUAAAUGUGCCAUGGUUUGUGUAUAAUGUAAGAUAAAUUGACGCAAUAUGCCACUAAUGUUGAAUUACCCAUAAUAUUGUGAUACAUACUACAUAUUGUAUGUUUGAGAUUACAUUUUAAAUGGGCGCCAUCUAGUGUAUACAACGAAUGCAUCUAUAGGAAAUAAUUUAUAGUAAAAUUGUAUUAUCGGGAGAACUAGGCGGAGCACGAAUGCACAUUUCUAUUUUGCACAUUGCCCUAUCAAUUCCGAUCAUAUAAAACAGCUGAACCAAAUAUCAAAUCAAUAGCAGACAAAGCGCCACUGGAACGGAGUUGGGUCAGCCUUGUUGAAUUGUUUGGGCUAAAAUAUAAUUCAAACCUAAAAUGGAUCCUUGUGAUUGCUCAAAAAUUGACUUGUUUUGUUUAUAGCUGGAAGCUGCAGUUGCGGUGGGCUCUGCAAGUGUACAAACUGCGAAUGUGCCAAGAAAAGUUGUUGUUCCUGCUGCCCGACUGGAUGCAGCAAGUGCGCCUCUGGUUGUG